AUGUCGUGGUUGGUUGUUCCUCUCUGUCGCUCUGUCGAGUAUGCUGUUCUGCUUGUGUUUGUUCCAAAUCGAGGUGAGUUCAUGUCACCCUCUCGCCUUCUAAUGCAGCCGCUGGUAGGUGUGAUUUCUAGAUUUUGUGGUUGUUGUGGUCGUCUCUGGUGGGCUGCUGCUAUAGUUUGUAGAUGCAGCAGGGUUUCCCCUUGUUUCUGUAGAUGUAGCGUGCAGGAUUCUGUAGAUGUAGCGUGGGGGUUUCUAUAG
rnacentral:rRNA from 1 species